rnacentral:lncRNA from 1 species
CUGUAGAUGCUUCCCAAAUUUCCUCUUUGGUGAAACAAGCAUUUGUGCAGGUUCCCCAUAAAAAUGACUGAUUUGGGUUUUACCAGGAGCUCUGGCACUUCUCCACUACAAGAAAGAAUUGCAUUUAUAGAGAGGUUUAUCAAGAUGGGAAUAGUGAAACAAACAUUUUUAAUGUCCAGCAGAAUCCUCUGUCUUCCCCCAAACAAGCCUCCCUGGGCAGGAAUUUCAGCCACUCUGGAAUGGAAGCCUCCUGGAAGGAAUCUGCUUCCCUGUGGGACUGCCCAGCUUUCAGCCCUGCUGCUGGGGGAAGGUUCACCUGCAUUUACAAUAUUAUUUGUGAGAAGAAACCUGGGUGUGCUCAUUUCUUGCUGAGGUUUCCCUCACUGCUCUUCUCUCCAGCUCUGCAGAGACCUGCCUGACUCACUGCAGGACUUGGAA